CAUUGCAGAAAGUGGACCUGAGCCUCAAGGAUGAUGGUGCUGCAGGAACCGGUCCAGGCUGCUAUAUGGCAAGCAGUAAACCACUGUGCUUACCAAGAUGGAGUUUUCCUCACAGAACGACUGUAUGCGCAAGUACACUCAGAAGAAGCCUUGUUUUUUCUUGCAACCUGUUAUUACCACUCAGGAAAGGCAUAUAAAGCAUAUAGACUCUUGAAAGGACACAGUUGUACUACACCACAAUGCAAAUACCUGCUUGCAAAAUGUUGUGUUGAUCUCAGCAAGCUUGCAGAAGGGGAACAGACCUUAUCUGGUGGAGUGUUUAAUAAGCAGCAAAGCCAUGAUGAUAUUGUUACUGAAUCUGGUGAUUCAGGUUGAUUUACUCUUUCUUUGUUGGGACAUGUAUAUUGCAAGACAGAUCGGCUUGCCAAAGGAUCAGAAUGUUACCAAAAGAGCCUUAGUUUAAAUCCUUUCCUCUGGUCUCCCUUUGAAUCAUUAUGUGAAAUAGGUGAAAAGCCAGAUCCUGACCAAACAUUUAAAUUAACAUCUUUACAGAACUUUAGCAAUUGUGUGCCCAACUCUUGCACAACACUAGUAUCUAGUCAUAGUUUAUCUCACAGACAGCCUGACACAGUUCUUAUGGAAACACCCCAGGACACAACUGAAUUAAACAGACCGAAUUUAGAAUCUUCCAAUUCAAAGUACUCCUUGAAUACAGAUUGCUCAGUGUCUUAGAUUGAUUCAGCUAUAAUUUCACCUGAUACUGUCCCUCUUGGAACAGGAACUUCCAUAUUAUCUAAACAGGUUCAAAAUAAACCAAAAACUGGUCGAAGUUUAUUAGGAGGAUCAACUGCUCUUAGCCCAGUAACCCCAAGUCCUGGAGAUGGAUCCUAUUUACAAAACUACACUAAUACACCUUCUAUAAUUGACGUGCUAUCCACUGGAGCCCCUUCAAAAAAGUCUGUUGCCAGAAUUGGCCAAUCUGGAACAAAAUCUGUCUUCUCUCAGAAUGCAAAUAGUCACGAAGUAACUCCAAUUCUUGUUGCACAAACACAAAGUUCUGGCCCACAAACAAGUACAACACCUCAGGUAUUGAGCCCCACUAUUACAUCUCCCCCAAAUACACUGCCUCAAAGUUCACGACUUUUUACUAGUGACAGCUCUACAACCAAGAAAAACAAAAAGCAAAACUAAUAAAAGGAGGAAUAAUUCAACUAACAUAAAUGAUAGCCUGGAAAUUACAAAAUUAUUUCAGAAGGAAAAAUAUCCAAAAUCACACCUCAGAUCCAGGCUUUUAAUCUAUAAAAAGCAGCAACGGGUUUGAUGAGCCUUCUUCAUGAA